rnacentral:rRNA from 1 species
CCUACGGGAGGCAGCAGUGGGGGAUAUUGCACAAUGGGGGAAACCCUGAUGCAGCAAAGUCGCGUGAGUGAAGAAGUAUUUAGGUAUGUAAAGCUCUAUCAGCAGGGAAGAGAAUGACGCUACCUGACUAAGUAGCCCCGGCUAACUACGUGCAAGCAGCCGCGGUAAUACGUAGGGGGGGCGCGUUAAUCCGAUUUACUGGGGGUAAAGGGAGCGUAGACGGGUGUUCAAGUCUGGAGUGAAAGCCGCGGGCUUAACCCCGGAUCGGCUGUGGAAACUGAGCAGCUAGAGUGCUGGAGAGGUAAGCGGAAUUCCUGGUGUAGCGGUGAAAUGCGUAGAUAUUAGGAGGAACACCAGUUGCGAAGGCGGCUUACUGGACAGUAACUGACGUUGAGGCUCGAAAGCGUGGGGAGCAAACAGGAUUAGAUACCCCUGUAGUC